GAUGAACGCUGGCGGCGUGCCUAACACAUGCAAGUCGAACGGAGUCCAGCCUUUAAGACCUUCGGGUCAAAGAGGGGAAGACUGAGUGGCGGACGGGUGAGUAACACGUGGGCAACCUGGCUCAUAGAGGGGGAUAACAGAGAGAAAUUUCUGCUAAUACCGCAUAAGCACACACUGCCGCAUGGCAGAGGGUGAAAAGAGAAUCGCUAUGAGAUGGACCCGCGUCUGAUUAGCCAGUUGGCAGGGUAAGAGCCUACCAAAGCGACGAUCAGUAGCCGAUCUGAGAGGAUGAACGGCCUCAUUGGGACUGAGACACGGCCCAAACUCCUACGGGAGGCAGCAGUGGGGGAUAUUGCACAAUGGGGGGAACCCUGAUGCAGCGACGCCGCGUGAGUGAAGAAGUAUUUCGGUAUGUAAAGCUCUAUCAGCAGGGAAGAUAAUGACAGUACCUGAAUAAGAAGCCCCGGCUAACUACGUG
rnacentral:rRNA from 1 species